rnacentral:lncRNA from 1 species
AGGCGAGUUCUCACCCAACACUGCUGCAGUGGGAAAUGGCUGACUGCCCCAGCGCUACCGGGCGCAGAGCUCUUUCGGGGGAUGGAAAUGGCGGCGGCACAAGCUUUUCACUUCAAGAUUUGAGGGUUCCGCCUGGCAGCGACUGUCUAGCAUGAAGCUCCUUUCCCAAAAGCAGAUGUCAGAGGAAGGACUCCAUUCUGUACAAGAUCCUCUCGCCGGGGUCAUAUGAUAAGGCAGUCUUAACAGAUAUUUGCAUGGAGGAAGUAUGACAAUUUUCAUAGGCCUUUGGCCGGAAAGAAAUUGUAGUUACACCUAAAAACCUGUAUGCUUUAGGAAGGUAAUUUUUAUCUUUUUCGACAUCUGAACCCUAUCUAAAAUAGGAUAUUAAAACAAGCCUCAUGCUUUGUUUGUUGCUUCCUCUUCUUCUUUCAGUUGUUUUGAUAGGUGUAUGUUCGUUUCUUGGAGUCACGGUCUUAGGAUACAGCCCGGGCUGGCUUAGAACUCACUAUGUUGCCCAAGCUGGCCCUCAACCCUUGACAGUUUUCCUCCCUCCGUCUCCUGAGUAAUCAGAUUACAAGUGUAAGCCAAGGCACCUGCCUUUUAUUUUGUUUUUGUGAGUGUACAGGCAUAUCUGUAUACACAUGUCCAAAUGCAUGCGGGCAUAUAUGUAUGUGUCUGUGUGCAC